GAUGAACGCUGGCGGCGUGCCUAAUACAUGCAAGUCGAGCGAACGGACGAGAAGCUUGCUUCUCUGAUGUUAGCGGCGGACGGGUGAGUAACACGUGGAUAACCUACCUAUAAGACUGGGAUAACUUCGGGAAACCGGAGCUAAUACCGGAUAAUAUUUUGAACCGCAUGGUUCAAAAGUGAAAGACGGUCUUGCUGUCACUUAUAGAUGGAUCCGCGCUGGAUUAGCUAGUUGGUAAGGUAACGGCUUACCAAGGCAACGAUGCAUAGCCGACCUGAGAGGAGGAUAGGCCACACGGGAAAUGAGACAAGGGCCAGACGCCGACGGGAGGGAGCAGUAGGGAAGCUUCCGGAAUGGGCGAAAGCCUGACGGAGUAACGGCGAGGGAGUGAAGAAGGUUUUCGGAUCGUAAAACCUUGUUAUUAGGGAAAAACCAAAGUGGAAGGAACCGUGCACCGCUUUACGGUACCUAAUAAGAAAGCCACGGCUAACUACGUG
rnacentral:rRNA from 1 species